rnacentral:pre_miRNA from 13 species
GCCCAGUGACCUUGGAAAUCAAGUAUAGGUGGAGCCUGUGGGUGUGAUUCGAGGCGACCCAUACUUGGUUUCAAGGGUCUGCAGGGA